rnacentral:rRNA from 1 species
AGUGAACGCUGGCGGUAGGCCUAACACAUGCAAGUCGAACGGCAGCACAGUAAGAGCUUGCUCUUACGGGUGGCGAGUGGCGGACGGGUGAGGAAUACAUCGGAAUCUACUUUUUCGUGGGGGAUAACGUAGGGAAACUUACGCUAAUACCGCAUACGACCUACGGGUGAAAGCAGGGGAUCUUCGGACCUUGCGCGAUUGAAUGAGCCGAUGUCGGAUUAGCUAGUUGGCGGGGUAAAGGCCCACCAAGGCGACGAUCCGUAGCUGGUCUGAGAGGAUGAUCAGCCAAACUGGAACUGAGACACGGUCCAGACUCCUACGGGAGGCAGCAGUGGGGAAUAUUGGACAAUGGGCGCAAGCCUGAUCCAGCCAUACCGCGUGGGUGAAGAAGGCCUUCGGGUUGUAAAGCCCUUUUGUUGGGAAAGAAAAGCAGCAGGUUAAUACCCCGCUGUUCGGACGGUACCCAAAGAAUAAGCACCGGCUAACUUCGU